CCGAGACCUCCAGCAAGGUAGGAACUCCCCGGACAGCAAAUUGCCGCUGCUCAGGGGUCAGGAACUCCUGCACCAAAGGGAGUGGCAUUAACAUCAUCCUAGAGGAUCUCAUACUAACUUUGGAUGUUAUGUUCUCAGCCUACCUCCUCAAUGGUCUCAGUUCUUGCCCUCCAUAUAUAUAGAACUUUCCACUUUGUACUUCACGACCAUCCCUGUCCCCAGCCCUCUCUAUCCCCACCCCCUCUAGAAAGCAACGAGAUCCAAUGGUUGACAGCAGUUGCACAGAUCUCUAUUCCUAAAUAAGCUCAAAACAUGGAAGGGAUCUAUUGACAUGCAUCCCUGCCAGCAUGCUAGGCAUUGUAAAAGUACUCUAUCAUCUGACCUAUUCCAGUCCCUGACUGCAAUCUCAUGUACUCUCCCAAGACCUUAUUGUCCUACAAUUCCUACUUCUUGAUGCAAGAAUUAAUUGUAUUUAAAUAUUUGAAACUUCAAUUUAGGAAAUUUCAGCUCAACCUUGUUUUCUUGCAGUCAGCAGCGAUUCCAUGGAUGCUAAAAUCUCGGUCAGGCCCCAACAGGAGACGGGGAAUGCAGAUACUUGAAGCAGGAUUAAGAGACUGUAGUAAGUGUUCUGCUCUCUCUAACACAUUGUGCUUCUUCUCUCACUGUUUCAUUGGCUCUAAAAACAGGGCCCUAACAAAUGGUAAAGCGCAACCAUUCACAAGGAUAAAGUAAGACUAAACAAAGGAAAGGAAGAUGGGAACUGAGAUCCAGUGCUGAUGGUCUGCAAGUACACUACCCACAAGACACAGAGCAUUGGGGAUUGGGAAUCUAAAGCAGCAGUUUUGGGGGAAGGAGAUGGUUGGGGUAUUUGGAAGGGGGCAGAAUAUUCUGACAUGAUUGAAACAACUUUUGUCCCUUUCUAAUCACUACUGUCUCUGUUCCAAAUUAUUUCUUUCCACUCCAGAAUUCAGUGCCCUCAGACACUCACAGAGGCUCCCCUCUCAGCUAUGGCUUUUACCAAACAAUGCACGUAGCUUGCUAACUUGCAUCCUUUGAACUUGAUUAUCUGACCUCUAGCUCACUGGGAUGACACGGAGGAAGAGAGGAGGAAUGAAGGAGAAAUGGUGUCUUACCGGAUCUUUUCCUCCAUCAUAGUAAUCGAUAGCCAGACCUAGAGUUGCUACUGGGAAGUGCAAAACUGAACAGAGGGCUCCUUUCUACAAACUGAUGCAGUAAGAAAGAGAGUUUUACCAUCUGAAAGAAGAACGUGGUGAAGACGGCAGUGACUGUGCGGCCCAUUAGUCUCAGUAUGAGGAACUGGAUUAGGACACACAGCAGGGAAUGAAAGAACUGCAUCCCUGUGGGAAGAGAGAGAGAUGAAGUAGAAACGACACUACAGGUGUUCCCAAACUGCAGCACACCCUGGGCCAGGCAGCUUUCUCUUUCUGAACUCAUCUUACCAAAAUUGAAGUAAGCAAUUGAGAGUCCUGUGAACACAUUGUAGAGAUGGAUGAGGUAGGUCUCCUUCUGGAAAAGGAAAUAGCGCUGGAAGAAGGCAAAAGGAUAUCCUGAGGAGAAAACAAAAAAGAUGUUGUAAAUGAGCAUAGACAAGUAUUUGUGAUGGUCCAGAUAACAGCUUUCUUCAACAUGUUCCUAAGAACAUGUACUUUAUGUUCAUACAUUAUCAACACAGGUCAUGGUGUACAUUCCUGAUCUUGUAUUUCCAUCCUGGGAGAUGAGAUGCCAUAUCCUGUGUAUAUUAUAGAGACAAAAAUACUUCAACAGGAACAUAAUUAUGUCAAAGUUGACAUUGAAGUGCAAGAAAUUCCAGGAUUACAGUUUCUGGCCUCAUUCAAUACAUGAGAUGGGUAAUGCUGAAAUACAUGAAUCAGACACUUCAGUCUCUGAUUCACUUCCAAAUUCAGUGACAAAUACAGUGAAUGUGGCAAGAAGCUAGAUUAAAAAAAAGGGGGGAGGGAUGAUAUUUUAUGGUUGAUACCAUUACAUUACCCUAAAAAUUCAAUCCCCGCUCUCGCCUCAAUGAGCUCUUACAUGAUGCUGACCAGAGCUCCUCAAGUGACCUCCAGCAGUACCCUUUCUUUUCUAGCUCUCCAGCUUCAGAUUUGCAUCUGAUUUGUGACCUCCUGGGCGCACAAAGCUGUAACUAACAUUCACUGGGCCCAGGGAUGUAGUGUUUUUUAACAAUAUCAAAGUCAGAAGCAUUGCAUACAGAGCUGCUAAGAUUAGUAGAAGGAGCUUUUUCCUUGCAUUUUCUGCUAGUUAGCUCCUGGUGUAUUUUAGGAAUGCCUCCAGAUUAUUCAUCUGUGGCUCUAGUGAGAAGCAAACAUUUGUGAAGCACUCCAAUAGUACAGGGAGAAGUGCCAUACAGAAACCCAUGAGUCAAUUCAAUUCUGUCGUCUAGGUGAGGUUCACAGAACAUGCAUUAAACAUUGCUACAUAUGAGA